GUCGCUGUAUAGAACGUGUUUGGUAUGAUUAAUAUACUCAAAAGCCCUCUAGCAGUCAAAAGAGUUUGUUCAGAGACGUUUUCAAUGCUCUCGGCGUCUUCCUCAGCUGCAUGGGAGUUGGAAGCCAACUGAUGCAGGGUAAACAAGCAGGACCGGGAUUUGGGGGUCAGCGUGCAUGUGUGGGCGCUCCCCUCUACACCUCCCAUCGGCGGGGCACAUUUUCGUUGCGUGUCUUGCACACGGGGGGUGCAUUACGUAUAUUACAGGCGGCAAAACGUUGUAAACAUUUUGACUGGCCUACAGCCAGAAAUUGUUGCAAAACAUAAACGUGAUUUGGUGGGAAG
rnacentral:lncRNA from 1 species